rnacentral:rRNA from 1 species
GACGAACCGUGCAAACGUUGUUCGGAAUCACUGGGCUUAAAGGGCGCGUAGGCGGCUUGCCAAGUCGGUGGUGAAAUCCUGCAGCUUAACUGUAGAAGUGCCUCCGAUACUGGCAAGCUCGAGGGAGGUAGGGGUCUGUGGAACUUCUGGUGGAGCGGUGAAAUGCGUUGAUAUCAGAAGGAACGCCGGUGGCGAAAGCGACGGACUGGACCUCUAAGGCGAAAGCCUGUACUGACGCUGAGGCGCGAAAGCUAGGGGAGCAAACGGG